rnacentral:sRNA from 1 species
UGCUUGCCUGAUGAGGUCGUCUUUGAC